AAACGCAAAAUAUGGUCGUAACCAAGUUUCAGAAAGGGCAAUAACUAUUGGGUUAUAUUUAUUUAUUAAGUAAAUCAAAUCAGUUUUUUUAAGUCAACAUAUGCACAGCCGUUUUUAGAUGAUGGAAUUUGAUAUUCUCUGAUAAUACUGUUAUGAAAAUUUUUGUCAUACCCCUUACCAGUUGGAAUUUGUGGAGUACGCUUUGAAUAAAAAGUUUUUUUAUAAGAUCGAA